GGAUGGCUGCCCACUGCUGACGUUCUUUGGUCAGAGGUGAUAGGAUGGCUGCCCACUGCUGAUGUUCUUUGGUCAGAGGUGAUAGGAUAGCUGCCCACUGCUGAUGUUCUUUGGUCAGAGGUGAUAGGAUGGCUGCCCACUGCUGAUGUUCUUUGGUCAGAGUUGAUAGGAUAGCUGCCCACUGCUGAUGUUCUUUGGUCAGAGGUGAUAGGAUAGCUGCCCACUGCUGAUGUUCUUUGGUCAGAGGUGAUAGGAUGGCUGCCCACUGCUGAUGUUCUUUGGUCAGAGGUGAUAGGAUGGCUGCCCACUGCUGAUGUUCUUUGGUCAGAGGUGAUAGGAUAGCUGCCCACUGCUGAUGUUCUUUGGUCAGAGGUGAUAGGAUAGCUGCCCACUGCUGAUGUUCUUUGGUCAGAGGUGAUAGGAUAGCUGCCCACUGCUGAUGUUCUUUGGUCAGAGGUGAUAGGAUAGCUGCCCACUGCUGAUGUUCUUUGGUCAGAGGUGAUAGGAUGGCUGCCCACUGCUGAUGUUCUUUGGUCAGAGGUGAUAGGAUAGCUGCCCACUGCUGAUGUUCUUUGGUCAGAGGUGAUAGGAUGGCUGCCCACUGCUGAUGUUCUUUGGUCAGAGGUGAUAGGAUGGCUGCCCACUGCUGAUGUUCUUUGGUCAGAGGUGAUAGGAUGGCUGCCCACUGCUGAUGUUCUUUGGUCAGAGGUGAUAGGAUAGCUGCCCACUGCUGAUGUUCUUUGGUCAGAGGUGAUAGGAUGGCUGCCCACUGCUGAUGUUCUUUGAUCAGAGGUGAUAGGAUGGCUGCCCACUGCUGAUGUUCUUUGAUCAGAGGUGAUAGGAUGGCUGCCCACUGCUGAUGUUCUUUGGUCAGAGGUGAUAGGAUAGCUGCCCACUGCUGAUGUUCUUUGAUCAGAGGUGAUAGGAUGGCUGCCCACUGUUGAUGUUCGUGUUGGUCUUUAUUGUCCAUAACAGGUAUGCCACAUAUACAGUACAUUACCAAAAGUAUGUGGGCACCGGCUCGUCAAACAUCGCAUUCCGAAAUCAUGGGCAUUAAUAAGGAGUUGGUACCCCCUUUGCUGCUAUAACAGCCUCCAGUCUUCUGGGAUUUUUCUGCAGUGACUUGCUGGGCAAUGAUGUUGGGCGGUUAGGCCUUGUAGUUGGUGAUCCAAUUCAUCCUAAAGAUGUCCGAUGGGGCUGAGGUCAGGGCACUGUGCAGUUCUUCCACACCGAUCUCAACAAACCAUUUCUGUGUGGACCUUGCUUUGUGCACAGGGGCAUUGCCAUGCUGAAACAGUAAAGGGCCUUCCCCAAACUGUUGCCACAAAGUUGGAAGCACAGAAUCAUACCGUUAAGAUUUCCAUUCACUGGAAAUAAGGGGUCUAGCCCGAACCAUGAAAAACCAGACCAUUAUUCCUCCUCCACCAAACUUCACAGUUGGCACUAUGCAUUCGAGCAGGUAGCGUUCUCCUUGCAUUCACCAAACCUAGAUUAGUCCGUUCGACUGCUAGAUGGUGAAGUGUGAUUCAUCACGACAGAGAAUGUUUCCACUGCUCCAGUGUCCAAUGGCUGCAAGCUUUACACCACUCCAGCCGACGCUUGGCAUUGCGCAUGGGGAUGGAAACCCUUGACAUUUCCACUUCACAAACAACAUUUACAGUUGACUGGGGCAGCUCUAGCAUGGCAGAAAUUUAACUUGUUGGAAAGGUGGCAUCCUAUGACGGUGCCACGUUGAAAGUCACUGAGCUCUUCAGUAAGGCCAGUCUCUUUCCAAUGUUUGACUAUGGAGUUUGCGUGGCUGUGUGCUAGAUAUUUACACACUUGUCGGAAACGGGUGUGGCUGAAAUGGCCAAAUCCACUCAUUUGAAGGCUGAUCCACAUACUUUUGUAUAUUUAGUGUAUCUUGAAAAUGUAAAAACACAAGGACCAACAGUGGAUCAUCUCUUUUAUGUACAUUUAUUUUAUGGCCAUUUGUAAAAAAGUCACAAAAUAAAUUGUGCAGUCUGGUAUGCUUAAUAUAAGGAAUGUGAAAUAAUUUAUACUUUUGAUACUUAAGUAUAUUUUAGCAAUGACAUUUACUUUUGAUACUUGAGUAUAUUUAAAUCCAAAUGCUUGCUUUACUUUAACUAAAGUAGUAUUUUACUGGGUGACUUUUACUUGAGUAAUUUUCUAAUAAGGUACUGUAUCUGUACUUUUACUCAAGUAUGACAAUUGGGUACUUUUCCCACCACUGAACAAGUCAGCGACAUUGGGGAGUUUUCGGGCAUGAACUGCUCGUUUCAGGUCCUGCCAUAACAUCUCAAUCGGGCUGAAGUCUGGACUUUGACUAGGCCAUUCCAAACCUUGUUGCUUUUCAGCCAUUCUGAUGUCUUGAUUGUGUGUUUUGGAUCAUUGUCUUGUUGCAUGACCCAGUUGUGCAUCGACUUCAGCUCACGGAUGGAUGGCCUGAAAUGUUCCAUUAGAAUUAUCUGAUACAGAGCAGAAUUCAUGGUUCCUUCAAUGAUGACAAGUCGUUUAGGUCCUGAGGCAGCAAAGCAUCCCCCAACCAUCACACUACCACCACCAUACUUUACUGUUGUUUUGAGGUUCUUACAGUGCAGUGUUUGGUUUUCGCAGACAUAACGGGGCCCAUGUUGUCCAAAAAGUUAGUUUUGACUCAUCUGUCCAUAGAACAUUCUUCCGGGAAUCUUGACGAUCAUCCAGGUGCUUUUUGGCAAACUCUAUAGUCGACUAUUUGGACGACAUGGGUCCGGUUAUGUCUGUCGCAAACACGGCAUUCCACAGUAAGAACGUCAUGCCGGCGUUCAAGAAUGUUGGUGGUAGGCCUCCCGGGUGGCGCUGUACUGCAGCUCCAGCUGUGCCAUCAGAGUCCCUGGGUUCGCGCCCAGGCUCUGUCGUAACCGGCCGCGACCGGGAGGUCCGUGGGGCGACACACAAUUGGCCUAGCGUCGCCCGGGUUAGGGAGGGCUUGGUCGGUAGGGGUGUCCUUGUCUCAUCGAGCACCAGCGACUCCUGUGGCGGGCUGGGCGCAGUGUGCGCUAGCCAAGGUGGCCAGGUGCACGGUGUUUCCUCUGGCGCAUUGGUGCGGCUGGCUUCCGGGUUGGAUGCGCACUGUGUUAAGAAGCAGUGCGGCUUGGUUGGGUUGUGUAUCGGAGGACGCAUGACUUUCAACCUUCGUCUCUCCCGAGCCCGUACGGGAGUUGUAGCGAUGAGACAAGAUAGUAGCUACUACAACAAUUGGAUACCACAAAAUUGGGGAGAAAAAGGGGUAAAAUUCAACAACAAAAAAAGAAUGUUGUUGGUAGUGUGAUGGUGAAAUUACGUUUUCACACAGGGGCAAUUGGUGUUGCAUAAUUUUUUUAAAAUUCAAUAAGUAUCAACAAUUCAUGUUAUUUGUUCACUCUUUAUCUAAUAUUAGGUUUUGGUUGAAGAUCUGAUAACAUUCAGUGUACAUUUUUUUUUCUGCAGAAAUAGAUCAAAUCAGAAGGUAUAUACUUUUCACGGCAGUGUAUCACUUUCUGCUUGCUAAGUGGUGAGAGUGCAGGGUUUGAUAAGCAGCUUUUAAACUGAACUGGUCCUGAGGUGAUCCUCUCACCACCAGGAUUAGGGCUGCAGUAUGAAAACCCAAUCCAGGUAGCAUGAGACAAAUUAGACACAGAUCAUUGAACUUAAAAAGCUCAUCUUUGAAGGUAGAUGUUGGACCAUGUACUUAACAGUUCAAAUAGAUCUAAGGAACAUGUUCAUCUGAAACACAACAGUGAGAUCUACAUUGCAGGGUUUAAACAGGAUUUAAGAGUUAGGUUAUUUACGAUCUCCUUGCAGAGACAAGCAGGUAUUGUUGACCAGACAGUUGCUCAGAAAAGAGGCUCAUGCUCCUAGCUACAAAUGGGGCAUUAGACUGUUCCUUGCUGUACACCUGGACCGGUUUCAUGGGCCCAGAUAAAGCCUACUCCUGUAUUUCAAACCAUGUUCCAUAGAGAAUCACUGCUUGGUCUAUGAAACAUCCCCUGAAGUGUUACAUGAAUCUGUGUCUAUAUAAUGUAAGUACAUGUUCUUGCAUCUAUUUAAUAUUUCAGCAAUCUGGGGUCAUAUAGUUAAUUUGAAUGAAAGUCAGACCUCUGUAAAUGGUGUCAAAGUGCACCAGUGGCUAACAUCAGCACAGUACUUUGAGGCUAUACAUUUCAUCUAAGUAGAAUGCACAAGGAUGUGUGCACAAUAGGGGCUUUUUUUGUGUGUGGUUAUUGUAUAGAUAAAUUCCAUCUCUCUCUUAGAAAAUAAUCCACUGGGAAGGUCAUUGGGAUGGCAGGAGUGUGAUGGAUGUUAGAAGCACCCAAUUAAGCUUUCUGAAAAGAAGCCUAUGAGCACUCUAAGCACUAACUGUAAAAACAGCUGAAUCACAAGUCAGAGGUAACCUGCAUUAUUCAUUAUGUUUUACAAAGGGUCAGAGUGGCUAAAAUCCUCAUUAUAAAUAUUUUGAGAAGACGAUCGGAGGUCACAGGGCUACUUUUUCGAUGUUGACACAGUCCAUGGGUUUAAGGAGCAAGGCUCAAUCAAACAUUUUACAUACACACACACACACAGAGAGAUCUGGAAAGAUUAAGAUGAUAAGGAGGUGGGCCAUGGCAAAGUCAUACCAAACCCCAUCCUGUGUCUGUCACAAACAAGUGGAUGCCGAAAAUGAACUCUGCCAGGCCUACUAAAUGUGACGUUUUUUACGGUGCCAAAAUUCACAACAAUUAAUGUGCAUGGUGACAAGGCCUAAUUUAAAAUAACCCACUAAAAUGUGACGUUUUUACAGAGCAAAAAAUUACUGAAUGUCAUGUGCAUCCUGAUGACUAAUUUAAGUGAAACGGGUAGUUGAUCAUCUUGGAGUGUAAAUAACCUAUGCAUAAUUUACGCAGUGCUUGUCAACUACCAGAUGGGGGAGUCCACGCCAUCUCGAAGUGGUCAUAUCCCCUCCUUCUCACGGACAUUAAACUAUAAGCUCAUAUGCUUCCAUACUUCAUUUCGAAAGCAUGCAUGUUUAAUAGUUGAAGGAUGUUGACGGAGGUCUGAUUUUAUUAUUACUCUUUAGCGCAGGAUCACGGAAAAGUCAGAUACACAGGCCAUCACUUGUCACUGACUGAACUCAAGCUGUCACUUCGAGUCCAAUACGCGCUGGAGUCUUACAUGCGCUGAUCUAAAUGCUCAGGUAAGGAUUUUUUUUUAAACAAUAUUCAGUCAAACGUAUUUAUCAUCUCCAGCAACUCUAACUUUCAGCUUAUUCGAAUGCUGUUUUCUCAGAAUUACAUGGUUUCUCAGAAUAGAUUUGUGUGCGUGAAUGCAUGAGCGCCUUAUGGUGAGGUUGGCUGCCCCUGGUAAUGCCAAAGUCAGUAGGCUAUUAAGUGAAGGGAACUUGGGAAAUAUAGUCAAAAAGUAAGUAUAGGUGGGGUAGUCAUAUAGUGUAGGAUAGUGUAUGUAUUUCAAUGCUUGAAUUGACCCCAAAUUCAUUCAUAAGUCAUGUCAAAUGGACAAAACAGGAUUGUGUAUGAUGGUGGAAUAGCAGGUCUUGUGUACUGUGCCUUCAGAAAUUAUUCACACCCCUGUUUCUUGCACAUUUUGUUGAGUUACAGCCUGAAUUUAAAAUGUAUUAAAUUUAGAUUUUGUGUCACUGAUCUACACACAACACCCCAUAAUAUCAAUUUGGAUUUUGUUUGUAGAUUUGUUUUGUAUUAAUAAAAAAUUAAAAG